UACGAAGGGGGCUAGCGUUGCUCGGAAUCACUGGGCGUAAAGCGCACGUAGGCGGCUUUUUAAGUCAGGGGUGAAAUCCUGGAGCUCAACUCCAGAACUGCCUUUGAUACUGAGAAGCUUGAGUCCGGGAGAGGUGAGUGGAACUGCGAGUGUAGAGGUGAAAUUCGUAGAUAUUCGCAAGAACACCAGUGGCGAAGGCGGCUCACUGGCCCGGUACUGACGCUGAGGUGUGAAAGCGUGGGGAGCAAACAGG
rnacentral:rRNA from 1 species